rnacentral:rRNA from 1 species
GGAUGAACGCUGGCGGCGUGCCUAAUACAUGCAAGUCGAGCGAACGGACGAGAAGCUUGCUUUUCUGAUGUUAGCGGCGGACGGGUGAGUAACACGUGGAUAACCUACCUAUAAGACUGGGAUAACUUCGGGAAACCGGAGCUAAUACCGGAUAAUAUUUUGAACCGCAUGGUUCAAAAGUGAAAGACGGUCUUGCUGUCACUUAUAGAUGGAUCCGCGCUGCAUUAGCCAGUUGGUAAGGUAACGGCUUACCAAGGCAACGAUGCAUAGCCGACCUGAGAGGGUGAUCGGCCACACUGGAACUGAGACACGGUCCAGACUCCUACGGGAGGCAGCAGUAGGGAAUCUUCCGCAAUGGGCGAAAGCCUGACGGAGCAACGCCGCGUGAGUGAUGGAGGUCUUCGGAUCGUAAAACUCUGUUAUUAGGGAAGAACAUAUGUGUAAGUAACUGUGCACAUCUUGACGGUACCUAAUCAGAAAGCCACGGCUAACUACGUG